GAGGGUAUAGCUCAGCGGUAGAGUGCAUGCCUAAUGUGCAUGAGGUCCUGGGUUUAAUCCCCUGUACCUCCU